rnacentral:lncRNA from 1 species
UUUUUUUUUUUUUUUUUUUUCCCCCAAUGUAUUGGGAUUUGAGGGAGCAUCUUGUUUAGCUUACCACGCUUUUUGGCGUAGUGUGUUUGGAGAACCCAGCCGAUGCCUGGUCGUGUUAAUUGCUUAUUUCACAAAAAGCCCGGAGACGACAGUAGCCAACCUUUUCCUCAUCGGAUGGGAGUCUAUUGUUCCUUUUCAUGUAAAUAGGUGGUUACAUAAGAGCUCAGGCAGGGUCCCUGGGGUGGUUGGUGGCAGCGGCUCCUGGGCAAGGGAGCGGCUGUGGGGACACACUGGGGACGGCCCGGCAACCAUCAGGGACAGGGGUGGUGACUGGCUGCCUCUCUGCUGAGGGAGAAGAGAGGGGGAGAAAUCCCAUUCUUGCAGUGCAGGGGGAAGAGGGCAAAGGGGCCAGGCUUCCAGGGGGUGGUCAGAGGACCGAGAAAGGUUGAGCAGGAUUCUCAGGUCCAGGACUUGGGAUUCAUGGGGGUGGUUCCCAAAUCGGUACUGGGGACCUGUUGGCCAGAGAGGAUUCUGCACGGGUGAGGCUUCUGGGGGAGGCCCGUCUGUUUUACUCCGUGUUCCGCGGAGCUCUUUCAUGUGAAAAUAGACCUUUGAUGUUCUGGAAUACGAGAAAGAAAAUCUGCUUUAACACCUGGGGAAGAGACGCUGCCUGUGGGGGAAAAAAAUGUUCUGUUACGAAAGAAUGGAAUUGCACAGCCCGACAUCUGCUGGGUUGGUUGUUCUAGUAGCCCCGUGAGGAGAAUUGCAGGACAACAUAGAGGCUUUCAGUCCCAGGUGAAAGCCUGUUUAGCGAGGCAGCCAGGGAUCGAACCUGUGUCCUCAUGGAUCCUAGUUGGGUUUGUUGCCGUCAAGCCACCACGGGGUGACAGAAAUAGCCUGGGGGGAAGUGAUAGUGCAGGUGGCCCCUGGUCGUUGUCCUCACACAUGGGGGAGGGGGCAGACUCUGAUCGGGGGGUCUGGGAGGACCUCUCAGUGGAGGUGGUCUGGAGGGUGCUCCUGCAGGGCCGGGGCUCAGACUAAAUGGAGGGAGGAGGGAAGGCUGUCGGGAGGCAGGGGGAGCUUUGUCCAGAGGGAGUGGUCAUUCAAGACUGUUGACUCUCAGGAUGAGGGGCACCAGUGACGGCUUCACCCACAGUUCCUGGCCGAGAGCUUAGCCUCGCUCAGCCCUCUGAGG